GAAAACACGUCAGGGCAAGUUCUUUCUUUCCUUGGGGUCUCUGUUUCCUCAACGGAUACACGGGGGUCACAGCUGCACAUGCUUUGCAGGGCUGUCUUGAGGAUUAAAUGAGAGAAAACCUCUGCUGAGCACCCACGGGUUCUGGAAAGGGUGUCCGGGUAUGGAGAGAAGGGAUCAAAGUAGACGCAGUUCCCAACCUCAUGCAGUGCCUGAGGAAGUGCCCGGGGUCUCACCGGACAGGUAAAAAUCCUAUUUUGAAGGUAAGAUUGAUGCUGUUCCAUUUUGUAAAUCUAUGCCCUCACCGCGGCUCUGUAAAUGUGGUCUAUGCAGACAGUACAGAGUUUUGCUGGAGCUGCUAGAAAUCCCCUUAGAAUUUUCUUAGCUGGAGGUUAGGCUAGGCCCCAUCCAGGGUGCAAAUGCCAGCAAGUUGAAGCUUUGUUUAGCAUUUAAAGCCUCCUAAUGGGUUUUAAACAUUUACACUUGUCUUAUUAUUAAUACCAAUUACUAAAACUCCACCCUGCCAACUGUGUCUCUCAUUUUAUAAAUACUGUCGGGACAGAAAUGUUGCCCAAGGCUAUUAGCUGCAGCAGCAACAGGUCUUAUUUGCAAAAGAAAGUUUGCAAUAAAUUCUCAGGGGAGAAAAAGGCACCUCACAAAUGGAGCUCUGAAAUUUGCCCUUUAAGAAAUGCCUCUGUUUUCACUCAAGCCCUGAAAUAAAUUUUCAGGGGCUCUCCCCACCUUUAAAUCAUGAAUGUGGAAGUUCAAAGCCAGGUGCUGCCACU
rnacentral:lncRNA from 10 species